rnacentral:rRNA from 1 species
UACAGAGGGGGCAAGCGUUGUUCGGAAUUACUGGGCGUAAAGGGCGCGUAGGCGGCCUCGCAAGUCCCGUGUGAAAUCCCUCGGCUCAACUGAGGAAUGGCACGGGAAACUGCGGGGCUUGAGUUCGGGAGAGGGAAGCGGAAUUCCGGGUGUAGCGGUGAAAUGCGUAGAUAUCCGGAGGAACACCGGUGGCGAAGGCGGCUUCCUGGACCGAUACUGACGCUGAGGCGCGAAAGCUAGGGGAGCAAACGGG